rnacentral:rRNA from 1 species
AUUGAACGCUGGCGGUAUGCUUAACACAUGCAAGUCGAACGGUAGAUACUUCGGUAUCGAGAGUGGCGGACGGGUGAGUAACGCGUAGGAAUCUGCCUGUUAGUGGGGGACAACGUGUGGAAACGCACGCUAAUACCGCAUACGCCCUACGGGGGAAAGGAGGGGACCUUCGGGCCUUUCGCUAACAGAUGAGCCUGCGUUGGAUUAGCUAGUUGGUAGGGUAAAGGCCUACCAAGGCGACGAUCCAUAGCUGGUCUGAGAGGACGAUCAGCCACACUGGGACUGAGACACGGCCCAGACUCCUACGGGAGGCAGCAGUGGGGAAUAUUGGACAAUGGGCGCAAGCCUGAUCCAGCAAUACCGCGUGUGUGAAGAAGGCCUUAGGGUUGUAAAGCACUUUCAAUGGGGAGGAAAAACGUCAGGCUAAUACCCUGGCUCUUGACAUUACCCAUACAAGAAGCACCGGCUAACUCCGUGCCAGCCGCCGCCGUAAGAC